UGAAUUUACAACUGUAAGUCGCUCUGGAUAAGAGUGUCUGCUAAAUGACUAAAA
rfam:Salmo salar isolate Sally breed double haploid chromosome ssa17, whole genome shotgun sequence.